CCCAGGGAAGUAGAAUUACUAGCUUCAAUGUACUCCACUAUAACCACAGGGAGGUAAAAUCCACCAUCUUCGAUCCGCUCCACUACUGCUUAGGGAGAUAAGAUCUGAAAUCUUCAAUCUAUUCCACUGUUGUCCAGGGAAGUAGAAUUACUGGCUUCAAUGUACUCCACUAUAACCACAGGGAGGUAAAAUCCGCCAUCUUCGAUCUGCUCCACUACUGCUUAGGGAGAUAAGAUCUGAAAUCUUCAAUCUAUUCCACUGUUGUCCAGGGAAGUAGAAUUACUGGCUUCAAUGUACUCCACUAUAACCACAGGGAGGUAAAAUCCACCAUCUUCGAUCUGCUCCACUACUGCUUAGGGAGAUAAGAUCUGAAAUCUUCAAUCUAUUCCACUAUUGUCC